rnacentral:rRNA from 1 species
UACGAAGGGGGCUAGCGUUGCUCGGAAUCACUGGGCGUAAAGCGCACGUAGGCGGCUUUUUAAGUCAGGGGUGAAAUCCUGGAGCUCAACUCCAGAACUGCCUUUGAUACUGAGAAGCUUGAGUCUGGGAGAGGUGAGUGGAACUGCGAGUGUAGAGGUGAAAUUCGUAGAUAUUGGGAGGAACACCGGUGGCGAAGGCGGCUACCUGGACCGGUUCUGACGCUGAUGCGCGAAAGCGUGGGGAGCAAACAGG